GGGGGGGGGGGGGGCGGGCUCCGAGGGCAUGGAGGAACGUACCGGAAGUGGAACAUCACAUGGGCUGAUGUGCUAACUCAGCUUUUCACAGGAUAGUCGACUCUGGCUCAGGCUUUGGAUCCUGGGAAAAUACUCACUUCCUUACUUCUCUCAGCCCUCAUCUGGCUUGCCACAUUCUCCUGCAAGUGACCAGCCGACAUGGUUGAACCCAGUAGACUAUGCUACGUGGAAUAAGCCAGUCACAGAAUAUGGUAAAGUUUGCCUGGGGUCUGUGGGUCCAAAAGAAAGGCAGGCAGAAAGAAGCGUGGUAUUUUUGUUGUUGUUAUUAUUUUGUUUUUGUUUUUUGUUUUUUUCUGUGAUCUGGAUUUGAGUCUGUCUUCAUCACUUUUCAGUUGCUGUGAUAACAUACCCUGACUCACAGGGUUUGUUCUGCCUCACAGUACAAGGUAUCCAUCAAGGCAGAGCUGUGAAUCCAAUGGGAGUUUUAAGCGGCUGUCCAAAUUACAGCCACAGUCAGGAAGAAGAGCAAGGAACACAUGCUCAGCUAGGUUUCUCCAGUUAUACAGACCAGGAUUCUGGCUAGGGACUGCCAUCACCCACAGUGGGUAGGUCGUCUUACCUCAACUAAUGCAAUCAAGACAAUCUCCCACAGAAAUGUCUCCCCGAGAUCCUUCUCCAGGUGAUUCCAAUCUCUAUCAACUUGAUAAUUAAUUUAGAACACCUUGCUUUCUUAUGAGGUUGAGCAUAUUAUUUAACCGUUUUGUGUUUGGGGCCCUCGCCUAGUUGGAAGUAAAACAAGUAUGUGAACUUUACCCAGGAGAGAGUAGAAGCGGGGACAUGGCAGUUGAUUAGUACACACCACUCUGAAAAUCCAUCUGCUGAACCCUGAUGCUGGGCACUGGCAGAGAGUUGAACACUGCGCUAGAAGAGCCCCUAGGUAGCAACUGCCAAAGCCGGCUGACUGAAAUCAUCUUCCUCACUGUCCACGACAAGCCCAGCACUGUCUUAUAAAUAGGCAUUAUUUCCAUCUAGGACUCUUGCCUGCGCGUUCAUUAAUUUGAAUCCAUUGCUCCUAAUUUUAACCCCCUCCCACUAAAUGCAUCUCUGUUUUUGCUCUUACUUCAAGAAAUGAACUCAGCGAUGCCCUUUUAAUCAGAGUUGUAAGACUUCCUACAGAGUCUAGGGUCUGCCUGCUUUAGUCUUCAUUUUGUGUGAGCACACAUGCGUCUGUAGAAACCAGAUGAUCACUCUCAGGAGCAAUCCACUUGGUUUUAUCGAAACAGGGCCUCUGUUUAGCCUGAGGCUUGCCUAGUAGACUAGGCUAGCUUGUUGGGGGAACACUGGAGAUCUGUCCUUCUCUGCCUCUCCAGCCUUGGGGUUAUAAGCACCAUGUCUUUUUUUUUUUUUUUUUAAUAUGGGUGCUGGGGAUUUAACACAAGCCCUCAUGCUCGCACAGCAAGCAGUUCACCAACUGAAAUGAUGAACUUCGCCAGCCCCAAUCAGCCUCCUGUAAGUGUUUAAGUUCCUGUGAUUACAGACUGAAGUUGCCAAUGGGCUGUAUCCAAUGUUCACAGCAGAAUGUAAUAUUGUAGAUUAAGUUUCUGCUAAGCAAUUUCACAGAAAAAAAUACAAACAAAAUAUGUCAUUGGUUGAGAGUGAUGCGGUGGCAGAAUUCUUGCCUAGGACACAUGAGACUUUGGGUUCUGCCUCCCAACACUACCCCCUUCCAAAAGUCUGAAUUAUGAUGCAGAAAUUUCCUUCACACACAUCUAACAAGCGCCACACAAUGAGUACUAGAGACUUAGAAGGUUGUUAAGGUGGCCUCUGACUAGGGAACACAUGAUCUCAUGCAGGAGGUAUGUAGCCUCUAAAUGGCCACUUCAUCUCUAAACUUGAACAUUUCUAAUUCACAAUCACUGUGUAUCCUAGCAUUGCAUGGUGGCUGUUGACUUUUUUUUUUUUUAAGAAGCAAUAUAGUUAGAAGGGAAAGGGGGUUGUCAGGCAGAUGUGUGGACAGCCAUGCUGGCUACAUGUUAAGGAUUAGGGGGAACCUUGAACACAGUCCCAAAGCAAUGGACAAGACUGGCAU
rnacentral:lncRNA from 1 species